AUUGAACGCUGGCGGCAGGCUUAACACAUGCAAGUCGAGCGGGGUGAUGGUGCUUGCACUAUCACUUAGCGGCGAACGGGUGAGUAAUGCUUAGGAAUCUGCCUAUUAGUGGGGGACAACAUCUCGAAAGGGAUGCUAGUACCGCAUACGUCCUACGGGAGAAAGCAGGGGAUCACUUGUGACCUUGCGCUAAUAGAUGAGCAUAAGUCGGAUUAGCUAGUUGGUGGGGUAAAGGCCUACCAAGGCGACGAUCUGUAGCGGGUCUGAGAGGAUGAUCCGCCACACUGGGACUGAGACACGGCCCAGACUCCUACGGGAGGCAGCAGUGGGGAAUAUUGGACAAUGGGGGGAACCCUGAUCCAGCCAUGCCGCGUGUGUGAAGAAGGCCUUAUGGUUGUAAGGCACUUUAAGCGAGGAGGAGGCUCUUUUGGUUAAUACCCAAGAUGAGUGGACGUUACUCGCAGAAUAAGCACCGGCUAACUCUGUGCCAGCCGCCGCCGUAA
rnacentral:rRNA from 1 species